UGUGCAAUAACCUAGCCUAGACACACUGAUCUAUCAGUUUUGGUCAUCAAAUAAUAUUUUUUCUUUUGUUGAUUUUGUGUCUUAGUAAGGUAGUAGCCUAUACGUUUGUGAUGUAGUAGAGGUUGUAAGAGGCAUUUUGUUAAAUUUAUAGGCAACACAGUUAAAUGUAUAGGCAGUCCAGUUGACCAAUAACAUGGCUGUUUGAAUUUGAAAUGAAGUGGGCGGAUCUGUGCACCUUUCGAGCAAAACGUGGUGUGUGAGCAAACAUUAACGUUAUUUUAUACAGUCUAUGCUUGUAACUUUAUUUGCAAGACAGAUGGACUGUAGAGACCAGAAAAUGCAUACGUUUACGGUCCGUAUAAGAUUACAGGUGUUCCUGGACAGUUUUGAAACCAAGAUGUCUGAACGCCUCAAAUAAUCAGCAGUAAAGACAACAGAGACAAAUUCUCUAAUACCAAGGUCAAUGCAUUUGACUGCUGUCCAGCCCCGGGUUUCCACCGAAAACUUUAUAGGCGGGUCAAUAUAGGGUUCAACGUCAAAAAAAUUGAUAAAAAAUUUUUUUUAUGGAUUCUGGUACUGUUGGACAUGCUAAAUAACAUACUA